GAUGAAGAACGUAGCGAAAUGCGAUACUUGGUGUGAAUUGCAGAAUCCCGUGAACCAUCGAGUCUUUGAACGCAAGUUGCGCCCGAAGCCAUUAGGCCGAGGGCACGCCUGCCUGGGCGUCACACGUCGUUGCCCCCCCAUCUACUCCUUCGGGAUUGCGGGGGGCAGAUGAUGGCCUCCCGUGCGCCUCGUCGCGCGGUUGGCCUAAAUGCCAAGUCCUCGGCGACGCACGCCACGACAAUCGGUGGUUGCGAAACCUCGGUUGCCUGUCGUGUGCGGUCGUCGCGCAUCGAGGGCUCGAAAAAAUUGCCGGGCUUCGGCUCGACUUUCAACGCGACCCCAGGUCAGGCGGGGUUACCCGCUGAAUUUAAGCAUAUCAAUAAGCGGAGGA
rnacentral:misc_RNA from 1 species